rnacentral:misc_RNA from 1 species
GGUGGUUUGGUGUGGAAGGGACUGGUAGCUGUUUUCCAGAAACUUUACUGCUUUAGUAGUUUAGUUACAUCUGGAGUUGGCAUAGGAUUUACCAUGGGAUGGAUCUAAUGCUUAUGUACCACUGAAUGGAGGACAAACCUUAUUAAUGGACAUUUCACUUAAUGAGGGAUGUCUAAAUGCCAUUCUAUAUCUCAUUUACUUAUCAUGCUGCUUAAUGACGAUGAAAUUCAAAGUCCAAUUCAUCUUCUUCAUCCUAUUACCUUUUCCCAUAUGCCAUAGUUCUUAUGCGGGCUGAGUAGGAGCUGAUAGUGACAUUUUGAAACUCAAUAUGCAACAUGUCUCCCUCCUGCAACAAAACAAAUACUAUGCACAAAUUCAUAUAGACUAGUCAACUACUGCACUUUUUUUCCCCUCCAAAUGAGGAGGUAGACAUAUUUGUAAAUAUGAGUUUCUUGUGGCAACAUUUUGAUGAACAUAAUAAUUAGAGAAAUUAUUUGUAAUAUGUUUAUGUAGAAAGUCAGUUAUAUCUGGCUGAAUUUUUUUUAUGGAACUUAUCUCACUGGUGUCAAUGUUGCAAACCUGUGGAUUUACUUGUGAGGCUUGCCAUCCCUAUUCAUAUUUAAGUAAUUAUUUAUUUUGUAUUUAAGAAUUAUAUAUUUAUAAAGUGUUUAAAUUUUUAUAUAAUUAUAAUUAUUUAAGUAUAAAGCUUAUAAUCAUUACUUAAAAGUAUUUAAAUAUGCACACACACACACACAAAUAUAUA